UGGCCACAAGCUCAGCCUCCCUGGCAAUUACUUUCAGGACAUCAUCCUGCUUCAUUUUUCCUGCAUUCAAACAGCUGAAAUCUCUGGUGUAUGCAGAGUGACAGUCCAUGAAGAGGAGGGGUAUCUCUGUCUUUUAUUUUCCUUGUUGCAAACAGAGAAAUGGAAGAGGCAAGAAAAUAGUUGGGAGAGGCACUGCAGAAGCCACCAUGAUGAUCAAGAGGCUGGGACUGCAUAGGGAUCCCUGCCCUGGAGUUACAGGGAAAAUAUGUGGUACCUUGAAUGUGCACCUGAGGAUUCCAGAAGGCUGGAAGAUUUUUAUCAAGCAUGGCUGGGUAUGCGUACAGAAAAGGAUAUGAUGACGGACAGGCAGAAGGAAAGGUCAAGAGACCAGUUUUCACAGAGGGGAGAUGAUGCGAGGAGACUGCUAUAUGAUGAUAGAAGCAGAUAUGGGAAUUCUGCUGCCACAAACCAAGAAGUAUCUGAGGCUAUCUGCAGCUGGAAGGGCAAAGAAAGAUCCCUCCCCUACAAUUUACAGGAGAAACAUGAGUCUGUGACACCUUGACUGCAAACUUGUGGACUCCGGAACUAUGGGAAGGCUGUGAUCGGAGUUGCUCUUCUGGGAUCAGCAGGAAGCCCGUGCAAGCGGCUGUGGCCUGUGCUGCAGGCUGGGGUUCCAUAGUAGAACAAAUAAAACUUGGCCUCCAUCCUGUUCUGUGCUGCUAAUGGGUAAUGUUCGACCCUCAUCUGCCAGUGACUUUAUUCCAUGUCUUAAUGUUUCUCAGAGCUGAGGAAAAAGUCCUAGGCUUGUCUUUAUCAUCGUUUUAACCAAGACUCCACGAUUAUCCCGCUGUAUAUGAAUGCAUACCCUGACUAGACAGCUUGCUUGGAUAUUGCGUUGGGUUGUAGGUUGGCAGUCUCUGCAGCGCAGCACUUCCUGGCUAUAUGAAAGUAAACUCACAGGUUCAAGCAGUAACAUACCAGCCAAAGAUAUACAAAAGGGACUGAAAAUAAAACAAAA